rnacentral:rRNA from 1 species
GAUGAACGCUAGCGGCAGGCCUAAUACAUGCAAGUCGGACGGGAUUGGGGAGCUUGCUCCCCAUGAGAGUGGCGCACGGGUGCGUAACACGUAUGUAACCUACCUUAUUCAGGGGGAUAGCCUCUCGAAAGAGAGAUUAACACCGCAUAACAUUAUUUGGUGGCAUCGCCAGAUAAUCAAAUAUUUAUAGGAAUAAGAUGGGCAUGCGGAACAUUAGCUAGUUGGUAAGGUAACGGCUUACCAAGGCUACGAUGUUUAGGGGAUCUGAGAGGAUGACCCCCCACACUGGUCAUGAGACACGGACCAGAAUCCGACGGGAGGCAGCAGUAAGGAAUAUUGGGCAAUGGACGGAAGUCUGAACCAGCCGUGCCGCGUGAAGGAAGACGGCCCUAUGGGUUGUAAACUGCUUUUGCAGGGGAAUAAACCUCAUUACGUGUAAUGAGCUGAAUGUACUCUGUGAAUAAGGAUCGGCUAACUCCGUGCCAGCCGCCGCGGUAACAC